rnacentral:rRNA from 1 species
UACGGAGGGUGCGAGCGUUGCUCGGAAUCACUGGGCGUAAAGCGUACGCAGGCGGCUUGGUAAGUCGGGUGUGAAAAUCCGAGGCUCAACCUCGGACGUGCACCUGAAACUGCCAGGCUAGAGGUAGGUAGGGGAGAUCGGAAUUCCUGGUGUAGCGGUGAAAUGCGCAGAUAUCAGGAGGAACACCGGUGGCGAAGGCGGAUCUCUGGGCCUUACCUGACGCUCAGGCGCGAAAGCUAGGGGAGCGAACAGG